UCUAGGCUAACCGCGUUCGUCGUUCCUCGUAAGUAGGAGCAUAACCCCAUCGCUGUAACGUACCACGGUACCAUCGUCAUCUCGAGUAUCGUUACUGCCGUGCCACCAAUACGCUGCAGCGUGACAAGCACUUCCAACCACACGCUCCUUCCUUCGUUAUCGAGUAACGAAGGUUCGUCGAACAAACUAAAUGAGCUCGUUGCAACAUCCAUAACAAGCAGAGCAGGAUACGAGAGAGCUUCUGAGAGAUUCAGUAAUCAGUCGCAACAUUGUUGCCCGGUUUCGGGCAGAAAACCAGCGAGAAAGUGCAGAAGAAGGAAUCGAGGCCACUUGUCGGUACACAGCAUAUAUGAACGUGGAUGGUUUUGGAGGUGGUCUGGGUACGAGCAUGUGGCCGAUUCUCUUUCGCAGCUGACGCUCGACGAGCCAUUUAAUGGCUCGUUAUGGACGAAGAGAAAAAAUGGAACAGUUCGUGAAAAAACGACCACAGCACAUGAGAUCGUAUUUUUCCUCUGUUUUUCUUUUUUACUUUUUCUUGUUGCCAAUUAGUUGGUAACACCUAGUCGAUAUAAAGCUUCGAUUUUGCAUAAAAAAGGAAUAAAAUUCCGGGAAUUCCAAGGAUGCCUGGUACGCGCAACCAUUUCAGCUGAUUACCGAGCAAUCAUAUUCUUGCACAAGCGGCCAGGAUCGUGUGUUGCAAAGAUCACCUCGUGCACGUGCUCAAUUCGUGCGAAUUGAAUGUCAGUAGCUAAACCGCUUUGCCACUUUGUACCAUGCCAGAUGAAAGAAUAGUCGAGCUUCUCGUAAUUAAAGUUGAAAGGUUGUAGGGUUGAAAGGAGCGAGCCUGUGUCGCUCUUCGGAUCGAUUAUAAAAAUAACAAGGACGGAGAGAGAAGCUCAAGGAAAAGGGAAAUGAGGGAAAAGGCGACGAAUGACGAGCCAUUUGAAAAGCAAAGCACGAUAAGCCGUCGAGUUCCCUCGCUCGAAGGGGUGGAACCCUUCG
rnacentral:misc_RNA from 1 species